CAGCAGCCGCGGGAAUACGAAGGGGGCUAGCGUUGUUCGGAAUCACUGGGCGUAAAGCGCACGUAGGCGGACACUUAAGUCAGAGGUGAAAUCCCAAGGCUCAACCUUGGAACUGCCUUUGAUACUGGGUGUCUUGAGUUCGGGAGAGGUGAGUGGAACUGCGAGCGUAGAGGUGAAAUUCGUAGAUAUUCGCAAGAACACCAGUGGCGAAGGCGGCUCACUGGCCCGAUACUGACGCUGAGGUGCGAAAGCGUGGGGAGCAAACAGGAUUAGAUACCCCCGUAGUCCCUGUCUCUUAUAC
rnacentral:rRNA from 1 species